AAAUAAAACUUAUGCAACAAAAACUCACACUACAAGAAAGCGCUUGAUUACCGACUACAUUUACCGACCGCCAGAAAAGUAGUUGGUAAAACUAAAUUUACCGACCAAAAUUAAAGCAGUCGGUAUUUUACCGACCAAUAUAAAAGCGGUCGCUAUUAUUUAAAUUUACCAACCGCUUCUAAAACAGUCGAUAAAUUACCGACUGCUUUUCCAUGUUUUCCGACUAAAUAAUAGACCUUAAACAUCAGAUUAUUUCCAAAUUAAAUUUAAAACUUUACCAACCGCUUAUUCCAUUUUAGCGGUCGUUAAUUAUUUCAAAAAAGAAAAUGUAGGUGGGAAUUGGGUUUAGGACCAACUUCCUUCCUGAAUGUACAUUCCAACAAAAAAAAAAAGAACAGAGCAGGGGGUUUAGUCGACCAGCUAAAUUGGGCGAAUUGAAGGCAACAACCCUCUCCCCCAGCGCCGCCAGCCCCACCCUCAGCUCCGCCAGCCCCACCCUCGCUGUUAUUCCUCCUUGCGAAUCGUCGAGACGCUCAUGAAUUAACCAGCCCCACCCCAGCGCCGUCUGCUCUACCAUUUCCGCGUGGCUCUGUCACCCAACCAAGGAUGAAGUAUCUGGUGAUGAUCUUUGGACCAAGAUUUUGUUUAGGCUGAACUAAAAUUUUGGUCUUUUGAGAGUUGUGAAGGGGCAAGGUGUCAUAUGCUCUCUGGAGGCAUAUAAUUAGAGUUAUUUUACUUCAGUUUUUUGGGGGGGUUUGUUAUUGGCAAAUAAUAUACUCUUUGGUUUAUGGACAAUCUAUUUCUGAGUAAAUGUUAAUGAAUUGAAAUAACUAAAUCAGAAGUUCAGAACACUGAGGAAUAAAGAGAAAAUGCUGAACACAAAGAAGAUAGGUUUUUGAUAGAUUUUGAAGGAUGAUUACAUAACCCUAAGAUUUUUAGAGGCUUAGAUCUCUCCCAAGAAAAGAAAUAAGACAACUAACACUUUCUCAUUGCCUCUCUCUCAACUGUUCCCCCUUUAAUUACAUUCUGCUCUCUGGCUAACAAACUCUGCCACAUCAGCCAUUCUCUUAACCCCUGCAGCACGUCUAGAAUAUGUAAGCAGGAUGAGUCAUCACAGUUGAGAGAAACUAACAUUUGAAUAUGUCUUAGCAAGUCAAAAUAAAGCUUAGGUGGCGGUCGCUAA